CCCUUAGAUGUCCUGGGCUGCACGCGCGCUACACUGAUGUGUCCAGUAAGCACCUAACCUCUUCCGAAGGGAACGGGUAACCUUAGCAAAGCACAUCGUGAUGGGGAUAGAUUAUUGCAAUUAUUAGUCUUGAACGAGGAAUUCCUAGUAAGCACAAGUCAUCAGCUUGUGUUGAUUACGUCCCAGCCCUUUGUACACACCGCCCGUCGCUCCUACCGAUUGAAUGUUCCGGUGAAUACUUCGGACUGCGAGGUCUGCAGUUUCUGCGUUCCUUGCGGAAAGUUGAAUAAACCUUAACAUUUAGAGGAAGGAGAAGUCGUAACA
rnacentral:rRNA from 1 species